GGUUUGAUUCCACUUAAUAGCCACAUGUCUUUGGGCAAGUUGUUUGACCUCUAAGUGAAACAGCCUCAUUGUCUGGAGUCACACCCGAGGUUCAUUUUCUCAUGGCCACGGAGAACAAUAAUGAGGACACAUAAAGAUUGAGGUUGAGAGCGGAAGUUUAAUAUGCAAAAGAAAGAGAAGAGUUCUCUGCUGCAGAGAGGGGUCUCAGAAAAAUGGGUUGCCGGAUCCGCGGUGAAAUGCAGGAGGUUUUAUAGAUGAGCUGGUGGGGAGGCGGCGUCUGAUCUACAUAGGCAAGAAAGGGCAAGAAAGACUGGUUAGACCAGUUGUGCUAUUUGCAUAGGGCACGAAUCUCUGGUAUCCCCCAUCCUAACCUUUUUUUAUUAUCCAGGCGCGUCUCUGCCUGAGGUGCACCAUGUUGCCCAUUUCUUUAUUACUGUACACGUGAUAACAAAAAAAGAGAAGAUGGAGCCUCCAUGUUGGACAUGGCCGCCCCCAGAAUACCAGAGUGGACUACAAAGACCCUGAGGGAGUGUGUCCUAACAGUUGGGCCUAAUGGUGAAAUUUUACAGCCUUGCCUUGCACAGUCCCUCUCACAGCCACACUAUCUCCUAUCUCCACUCCAGCAACAUUUAUUGACACGGGGGUUACAGAGAUGAACCUGACCCUCAUAAACUCAAACUCCAGUGGAAGCAGAGAGACCUGUCCCUAAAAAAAUUUACACCAGGUGCUGUGAUGAAACUAUGCUGAGUGCAUAGAUGGCCACAAGGGAGAAGGAUGCUUCUCUUCCUGGGGGAGUCAGGAAAUGACUUACAGAUGGAGCCCCGGGGGGGCCGUGGCUGGCCUGGAGCUGGGGUGGCAGAGUCUCUCUCCUGGUUUUGCUCUCACAGAGCGUGACAUCUCCCUGGAGCAAGGUGGGACCACUGCUGAGCUCACAUCAGUCACUGUACUUCCUAGGAAGUUUUCUGAUACAACGUCAUUUCCUGUAAGUUGGGAUUUUUGCACACAGGACAAAACAAAGAUGACAGCUCAUCUCUCUUGACCCUGAUGUGAUGGCUGGAGCUAGAGUGACCAUCUGGAACCACCUGGUGAACUUGAGCUUGAGACUCUAACACUGCAGAGUGUCAUACCAACUGUGAUGACCUACUCAGACUUCUAAGUAAGACAGCAAUAAACUUCAUUCUGAUUUAACCCACUGUUACUUUGAGCUUUUUCUAUUACAGUCAAGUCUAAUCCUAACCGAUAUAUGCUCCCUUCAACUUUUCCUCAGGCACUGGGAGAAAAGACAGAGCACAAAAGAUGCAACCUCAAACUGAAUUUCUAAGAGGAAGACGAGUCUCAGGGCAAUGGGAA
rnacentral:lncRNA from 10 species